rnacentral:lncRNA from 1 species
ACACAAAACAAGCAAACAAACAAAUCACACAAAUAACAAUCCAAAAUCAAAAUAAUAAGGUCUAGUCCAGUUAUACAGUCCAAAGUAGAAAAAUGCUAAAGAAUAUAAAUCCUAUUCUAUACUAUUCUAGAAUAAAGCUCCAAUGCCUUAUCCAACGCCGCGAGCCUUCAUCACGAUCAUUUUCCACCAACAUGAUACGUCGGGGCAUUCCCCGGUGAAUAAGUACAUAAGACCUCGGGGCAUUCCCCGGCUAAAUGAAUACAUUUGAAUCGAAUGCGAUAAAGUAGAAAACAUUCAACACAUAAUUCCACAUUCAAACAUCCAACGAAACACUUAUUCCUAAAUUUCGCCUACCCGAACCUACGAUUGCCUACCCACUCGACCUAUCAUGAUACUAUCCAAUUCGACAAUAUUCAGUAAUGAAUCAAAACAAACAACCUUCAAAUUCGAUUAUCAAUUUUCGAUCCCGACCCCAAAAUCAACAAGUUUAAUCCUCAAGCCAUGGUUAACAAAUUUUUCGAUUAUCAAACCACUUUUUAAAAUCUAAAAUCAACAUCAAACAUAUACAUCCAACGAAGAUUCAAGCAUUUAAGCACACCCCUCCUACGUAUCCACAACAACGAUCAAUAUUUUACUAAAAAUUUAACCAACCAAAAAAUCACGGCAUUAACCAAAAUCCGAGAAAAAUGAAAGAGUAGAGUUAAAGAGAUGGACCUUAAUAGAACUCGUUAUCAUUGAUAAUAAAGAAAUCCGAGACCGAGAUCCUCGAAUGGGAACCCCAAUGAAAAACACCACAAAUCAAUAUUCCAAAAUCGCGCGAAGAAGACGAACCCGCUACUGAUCUAGCUGAAUCGAUCGUACGAACAGAACUAUGAAUUUGUUUUGGUCGUUUUUCAACCGGAUUUGAUGGAAAUCAAUUGAGACAGCUCAGGCUCCGUCACUCCAAUCGCUGUUCUGCAUCGCCGGAUCUCCGCCGAGCUCCAACAACGGCGAAGACCAAAAAAAGACGACGGAACAGAUUCCGACUGUUUUUCAGGCGAAACUCGCCGGAACAGUACUCUUUUUCGAUUCUAUCCUCUUUCAGAUCGUAUUCUCUCUCCGUAUUUCUCUCCCUCUAUUGUGUGUGUUAAUGAUGGUUUUUCGUAAGGGGAUUGUGAAGAAGAAAAUCAAAAAAUGGUGUUUUUGAGGUCUGUGUUCAAGGUCUAUGAUGAUGAUAAUGGAAAGAGAAGAAAAAAUAUGGAAAAAUGCCCCCCCCAAGUCCGUGUGUGUGCGUGGAUGAUUUGUUCUGUGUGUAAAUGGUGGAAAAUAUGGAGAGUAUGUGCGCACCUUCUCUGUAUGUGUAUAUGAAUAUAUGGAGAAAAAUGGGGGUUGUCAGAUGUGUUCCUAUUGUGUGUUAAUGGUGUGGGUGUGAGUGACGAUGGAGAUGUUUUCUGUGAGGGAAUUGUAGAUAUGGGUGUCUAUGUGCUGAAUUCAAAGAAAAGAAAACCCCCCACCUGUGUGGUGAGGUGUAUCCAUAGAAAAGAAAAGGAAGAUGUCCUUACCUUUCACUGUGGGCCCUCUUUUUUUUUUGAAGAAGAAAAUGGGUUCUCCCUUUAUGGUGUGAUCUCUGUAUGUUUUUUGUUGUUUUCUUCUCCAAGGGAUAAAAAAUGUGAGUGGGUAGAGAGGUGGAAGCCUUUGAUUGGGUAGAUUGUUAGGAUAAGAUAAAAUUAGUUGGGUUGUUAUUUUUUUGUCAUUUUGUGGAGGAAAAAUUAGAUGGGUGAGGGUGGUGAGCUAAAAAAUGGAUAAACUUGGACUUGGGAGGGACAAAAUUAGGUGUCUACAGUAUGCCCCCUUUGAAUGUAAACAUGAAGUGUUUUCAGACAAAGAAGUAGACCACAAGACAGAAUUUUGUCCCGACCGUUAUUUAAAAGAAGAAACAAAAGAAAGAAGGACAACCGGGUCUUGACUUAGGACAUCAUACCUACCCAUGAGUGAAUCGAGUGACAGGUAUCUCAAAGGAUUGGAAAGAGAUGGACUAUACCGAGUUGGAGAGUCGAGUGAGGUUCCAUCGAGGUUCCGGUCCACGGCUCUGUCAUUACAUUAAAAUGAAAAUUACAAGUUAAAGCAUAAAUGAAAUUACAAAAUCCUAUCUAUACAGCUUCUAUUGGCUAUUGACUCGACUUUUAUCAACCUAUUCUUCAGGCGGGCUCCUGACUUGCUAUUUCUUUAACUUGUUGCUUGCCUUUCAAUUUCUUCACACUGUUCUCCAGGCGGGUUCCUGACUUGUUAUUUCAUCAACUUGUUGCCAUGCUUUCAACUUCUGCACCCUGUUCUGCAGGCGGGAUCCUGACUUGCUAUUUUUAUCAACUUGUUGCUAUGCUUUCAAUUUCUUCACCCUGUUCUGUAGGCGGGCUCCUGACUUUCUAUUUUUCAAUCUGUUUAACUUUCAAUUUCUUCACCUUGUUGCUUGGUUUUCCAUUUAUUCGCCCUGUGCUUCGGUCAUGCUCCUGAAAUCACAUCAAAACUGAAAAGAAAAUUAUCCUAACUAAAGAAAUGCAAUUUCUAUGAGUUAAUUGGAAUGACUCGACUAAAAGGUACGUCUUUUAGGAAUCAAAGGGAAUGACUCAACUAAAAGGUACGUCUUCUAGGAAUCCAGGGAGAUGACUCGACUAAAAGGUACGUCUUCUAGGAAUCAAGGGGACGAAUCGACUAAAAGGUACGUCUUAUAGGAAUCAAAGGGGAUGACUCGACUAAAAGGUACGUCUUCCAGGAAUCUAGGGGGAUGAAUCGACUAAAAGGUACGUCUUCUAGGAAUCAAGGGGACGAAUCGACUAAAAGGUACGUCUUAUAGGAAUCAAAGGGGAUGACUCGACUAAAAGGUACGUCUUAUAGGAAUCAAAGGGGAUGACUUGACUAAAAGGUACGUCUUCUAGGAAUCAAGGGGACGAAUCGACUAAAAGGUACGUCUUAUAGGAAUCAAAGGGGAUGACUCGACUUAAAGGUACGUCUUCUAGGAAUCAGAGGAAAUGACUCGACUAAAAGGUACGUCUUCUAGGAAUCCAGGGGGAUGACUCGACUAAAAGGUAUGUCUUCUAGGAAUCAAAGGGGAUGACUCGACUAAAAGGUACGCCUUAUAGGAAUCAAAGGGGAUGACUCGACUAAAAGGUAUGUCUUCUAGGAAUCAAGACUUAAGUUAGGAAGUGCAUUACCUAAGAAGCAAAAUUCGAAUUACCAAAUCAAGGAAGUGUGUUUCCUUAUCAAUGUUGUUUGAAUUAUCAAAACAAUGAAGUGUGUCUCCUUACCAAAUCUGCUUGAAUUACCAAAACAAGGAAGUGUGUCUCCUAGAGAUCUUGAAUUAUAAGUUUUACCAUGGUUUUGAUUACCAAACCUAUGCAGCAACCUUGCCUCUUGCAUUUGUUGAGGUGAGAAAUUACAACCUUUGAUGUUUAGGCCCUGAAAUCCUUGAUUUGAAUGCAACAUGUAUUCUUAUUACAUACAAAGAAAACUUGUGAGUUUAAAAACAUGGUGGCUAGUUUAUGGCUUUGGCUUUUGAGGCAAUUGCUCCUGCCCCCGUCACAUUUAAUUUUGCUUCCAACCAUUAGCAUAUGUCAUUGACUUGCUGUAUCAUUGACUCAAACUCAGCUUAUUAAGAGUGGUUCUAAAACAAAUACAAUAUUUCUGCUUUGUCGUGUUUCCCAAAUAAACUCUUUGAACCUUGGUAUUUCCAUGAGUUCCCUAACUUUUCCGUUGACAAAACUUCCUGCAUGCUUUUUUUUGGGCUCACAAUCAUGUCUCUUUUAUGUGCUAGCUUUUGUCUUAUUUUGUACAAUUAAAGAAGCUGGUAGCCAGUUUUGAAAUCUUUUCUCACUUGUUUUGACACGGACUUGACUCAAAGACAAGAAACAAAAAAAAUGACAAUUUUUGUUUUGAUAACUGACUUAAGAAAGAUAAAAUUAAAAUAAAGAGAAGAAAGGAAAGACAAUGAAUGUCCCCUUUUAAAACAAAGAAACGAAAAAUUCAUCUAAAAAUAACAGUCAACACUAAUGAUUAUGCCAUGCAUUUUGGAUUAAGCAGCUUGAUCUUUUUAUCCAAACUUUCUACCCAUUGUUGUAGAGUUAAUAGCCUUGAAACUGAGUUGCUUUCUUAGGUCAAUUGCAUUUAAGACCCCAUUCGGCUAGUGGCGCCUUGAAGGGUUUUCGCCAACAAGCUUCUUUCAUUUUGUCUCAGCUCACUAUCGCCUUUUGGUGCCCGUGAGGGUUUUCACCAAUAAGACUCUCUCAUUUUUAUUUCUCUCAACUUGCCAUCGACUUAUGGUGCCCGUAAGGAUUUUCUCCAAUAAGACUCUUAUUUUUAUUUCUCCCUUAAUUCCCUAUGCCGAGGAAGACAAAUAGUUCCCAAAUGCAUCAUCAUAUCCCUUGCAUGCUCAGCCUUAACAUCCUCAAAGAUUGAUCUGAAGGUCUUUCUUUGGUUGUAACUUGUUUCUUGGAUAAGGUUAGAAAGAAAGGAUGACAUGGGGCCCAAACGACACUUGAAGUGGAGUAGGACUUACAACUUUUGGAAUUGACUCAAACAAUGAGGAUUAACUCAUGCCCCAGUUUCUUCGGACUUGGUGACUCUAAAUUAUUUAUUUGGUUGGACCAAGCCCUGAGUAGGGUAGCCUACGUAUCUCACCCCCGAAAGAGGAGAAUCAGGUCAUGCGUAGUUCUGUCAGCUUGUUCUUUUACUUGAUUCUAUUCUUUUUUUCUUUUUUUUUUUCUUUUGGGGAUUUUUCGACUCUAUUUUUCUUCACACUUUUUUUUGACACAUUUUUUUUAUCUCUUUUCUUCUUUCUUUUUUUUUGAACUUUUCUGACUAUUGUUUUGCUCGAUAUUUUUCUUUCGAGCUUUGCUGACUAUAUUAAUUCCAAAAGAGGUGUAUGAAAAAAAAUAAGACUAAAGCUCAAAUGGGAUAAACAAAGGAUGACACGAUGUUUGGAUAGCAAAAUGAAAUACCUUCGUCAUAUCAAUCCUUGAAAAUGCAAGUACCUAUCAUGCAAUAUGAAAGUGAGAGAUGAAGAUUAUUUGUGACACUUUCACAAUACUAACUUUAAUUGAGCAUGUGUGCCACUACUUCUUCUGGGCUUGUCAAACAUACAACUCCACUUUGUUGUAAGGGAGUUACAAUUUUUUCUGUUUCCAAAAUGGAGAGAGUUUGUCUAAUUUUUCUUCUCUUCCUUCUAACCUCCACUGUAGAAGUGCAUGGCUCUCUCUCCUCGUUGGAUAGUAUGACACCCCUUCUGGAUUUCAAAUCUUCGGUAGCUUCAAUAAUAGCCUUUAGAUUUUCAAGGAGUUUAUCCUCUCUGUCCUUGCACACUUUGCAUUUGCAAUGGGAAUAUGAGGGUGAGGAGGGGUGAGAGGGACCAUUAUAGAUCCCAAACUACAACCCUAAAAUAAUUCAAAAAAUAGAAAAGAAAACAAAACAAACUACCAGACCUCUUCCUAGUAGGGAGAGGGAUGACUUUUCAAUUGCUCAGCCUGACAUAUUAGCCACUGGUUUGCAUAUCAACAUGAUUGGAGCUUCCACCACUGGCAGACACAUUUCCUUUAACAAAUAAGCUCUGGAUCCCCAUGCUUAACUCAUUGCCUCCCACAUAUUGUGCAGUACCGCGUGCUGGUGAAGAACUCUGUGGGAUGGUCGAAGGGCCAAUGUUUUGCACCACAAUCAAUUUAUCUUGAAUUAUCUUUUCUAUUUCUAUUUUCAAAGUGCGACAAUCUUCAGUACUAUGACCCUGAACAUCAGAAUGAUAUGCACAUCGCACAUUAGGAUCAAAGCUUCUUAAAUUCGGGUCAGGAGUAUACCCAAGGAGAGGAGUGAUCAUGCCCUGCUGUACCAAUUUUUGGAAUAAAUUAGCAUAGGAUUUCCCAAUAGGAGUGAAAUUAUCUUUUUCCUUCCUCCUCUUUGCGAACUCUGGCCUCGGAUGAAAUUUGGAUUUAGAGGUCCCUUGGUAAAUUUGUGGGGGUCGAGGACGAUGUUGAGGGACAGGUGCAUGCCAUUGUGGAUAAGAAGAUGGAUGAACAUAUAAUUGUGUAUUGUUCACAGGAUAUCGAGGAAGUGAAAUGGGAUUUCUUGGAUUUCGGAGAAAGAAACCUUGUUGCAAGUGGUUAUGUGGAUCUGAUAUGUAAGCUCGGGAUUGAGGCUGACAGUAUUAGUGGGUUGGACCUCCCAAACUCUGCUUUGGCCCUGUCAUGACAAUAGGUGCAUUUUCCUUCUUCUUUUCUUCUGUUUCCCUUGGUUAAUUGUAAUGUCGUCCCGAAUGUUUCACAGAAUCCUUCUGUCUAUCAGGCUCCCUAAAUUUUGAUGUCUUAAAGCUGGGGGGAAGGUUAACACUUGAAGACAUGCCCCAGUUUUUAUAUGAAACAUCUUCAUAGCCCAUAAGUCUAGGGAAAUUUUUCAUAUCAUUUUCUACACUCCUCACUUUCCCAACCAUUUUCUUUGGCUCUUUUGGCAUGCUAGGCUUCUUAGUAAGAAAUUUUGGCGGUUCACUUAACUUAACUGUAGGCUCAAGAGUAUACCAAUGAUCAUCAACAGUAUUGAACGUGGAGUUACUAGUGGACUGGGGAAGCACAAUCGUUGGAUUGAUAGACAAAGUGGAAGCCUUAGUAGAAGGUUGAGCAACAAAAUCACAGACGGUAUGUGGUGUUGUGAAUGUGGUAGACUUAUACUGAGGAGAUAAAGAAAGAGUGGUGGAAGUGUUGAGGUGCAUUAUGCGUGGAAUGGAUUCUGAGGCAUGCUGUGGUGCAUCAACAACAGUAGGAAACUGACUUUGCGAUUUUGGUUGAAGACUCAAGGUAUUUGCAGGGUCAAAAGUGGGGAACGGAGGUGUAGGCAGCCCACUGGCCCAAGCUCGGUACAUUUUCAUCAUUUGUUGUCUCAGUCUCAAAUUCUCUUCCUUUAAACUCUCAAUUUCCUGACUCUUUGUUUCAUCCAUGAUGUCACUCUCUAUAUCCUUGUUGGACACAACUAACCCUUUCUUGAAUUUGGUGUGAUAUGGAGGACCAAUCAGGAAACCACAAACCAACCACCUUAAACUAACUGAACAAGAGGCAACAAAUAUGUUAGAGUUCAACAUUUUUCAAAACCUCUUUAUUUUCUUGAAAAAAAAUCACCGAACCCUAGAAGGGCGCCUACGUAUCUCACCCCCAAAAGGGGAGAAUCAGGUGUGCGUAGUUUGUGAAGUCAUGCUAAAAUGGCCAAUUAAACUCUUUUUUCUUUCUUGAAACAAAGUGUCAAAAGAAUUGAUGAAAAUUUUUUUUUCUUUAGGUUUAAAUCUCUAUACAAAAAUUAAACCCGUGAUUACCAAAGAAAAAUCUUUUUGGGUUUUCGAUUUUUGAAUUUCAUGUGAAAAUGAAACUUGAGCCUAUUAAAGGAAAUUUUUUUUGUAGUUUUCUUUUAAAGACGUAUAUGAAAUGCCUACUCUAAAUGGAGAGUGAAGAAAAUCUUUUUUUUUUUGAAUUUUUCAAAUAAGGUCCCCGAACCAACAAUAGGUUUCCUACGUAUCUCUCUUUCUCGAGAGGAGAAUCAGGGGUGCGUAGUUCGUCCAGAUUGGACAAUUAAUGAUUAAAUAACAGGCUAGACCCUGACUUAAAAGAUAUGACCAAAGACAGACGAUGAACCGUGUUAAUAAAAUCUUUUGAAUUUUCAUUUUGAUACUUCACAGAAAAAUGACAUCAACAACUAUGAAAGAAAAAUCUUUUUGGUAUUUUCGUUGUACGAAAUGUAAAAAAUUUCUAACAUUUUUUUUUUUGCAUUUUUCUUUUAUAAACACAUCCUAUGAAUGAAAAAAAUCUUUUUGAAGUUUUCGAAUUGUGAAUGCAUGCUAAAUGAGCCAAAGGAAAAUCUUUUUGAUGUUUUUGAGAAAAUGAGUGCGGGAGGUAAAAAAGUCCUUUUGACUAUUGAAAUUUUGAAAAAUAAAAGCCAUAAAAAACUUUAAAAACUACGAAACUCUUUUUUUUUUUUUGCUUGUUUUUUUUUGUUUUAUUUUUGUUUUUUACCCCCACACUUUACUUAUAACACAUGUUUUUCCCAAAUCAGUCCGUCAAAAGACCAUGUUAUCCUCAAAGAUGCAACAUUUAGCACGUAGGGAUGAUUUAGAGGUGAGUCUCCUACAAAGGACCAAGUGGGCCCCACUAGGUCUCAAUAUGAUGCACAUAAGCAUAACCUAAAGGCUGACCUACAUUGGGGUUCACUAACAAGGCUGUUCGGGGGAGCGUAUGGUCGAUAGUGGCUGCGACAGCUUUCCACCUACUCCAUAACACCGACGGCUCCCCCCCUAAAAUAAGGGUGACUCAACUAGAGGUCGUGUACAACACGUGUACUACAGACUUGUUGCAGAAAGAAGGCGUGGGGGUAGCCACAUGAUGCCAGAUAUAAAAAGCGGUAACAUAUAGGAUAAAUACUGUACACAAAGAGCAUGAAAACGGACAACAGUGAUAACAAUAACACAAACAAUAAUCACAGACAAUGUUUAUAUGCCCAUAAUGUCAAACAAAGCCGAUACGAAUCCAAAAAUAAGCUCGAAUUCUGAAAAGGUCCCCAGCAGAGUUGCCAGAGCUAUCACACCCCUUUUUUAAACAUCCAAAAAAAAUAUGCACUUUAAGUUCGAAAGUGUUUCAUUAUUAAGGUGACAAAAAUUAAAAAAAAAAUUGUUUCGAAAAAAAGGAUUAUUUACAUUAUUUUUCUUAUUCAGAGUCGCCAUUUGGCAUAAUCCGGUGUGCCAAAUCACCUUUGAAAAAUCCUUUUCGAAACGGUUUGACUCUUAAAAUUGAUCCGCGAACAGAGAUUCUGGCUAAGAAAUUCUGUUGACCAAGGGGAAGGUGUUAGGCACCCCUCGAUCCCAUGGUUCGACCACGGUUGUUUGGUGGAGCAUAUCGGCUAAUUUGACAUUACAAAUGUACAAACCACAUAAACACACAAAAUAAGCAAACAAACAAAUCACACAAAUAACAAUCCAAAAUCAAAAUAAUAAGGUCUAGUCCAGUUAUACAGUCCAAAGUAGAAAAAUGCGAAAGAAUAUAAAUCCUAUUCUAUACUAUUCUAGAUCGGGGCAUUCCCCGGCUAAAUGAAUACAUUUGAAUCGAAUGCGAUAAAGUAGAAAACAUUCAACACAUAAUUCCACAUUCAAACAUCCAACGAAACACUUAUUCCUAAAUUUCGCCUACCCGAACCUACGAUUUCCUACCCACUCGACCUAUCAUGAUACUAUCCAAUUCGACAAUAUUCAGUAAUGAAUCAAAACAAACAACCUUCAAAUUCGAUUAUCAAUUUUCGAUCCCGACCCCAAAAUCAACAAGUUUAAUCCUCAAGCCAUGGUUAACAAAUUUUUCGAUUAUCAAACCACUUUUUAAAAUCUAAAAUCAACAUCAAACAUAUACAUCCAACGAAGAUUCAAGCAUUUAAGCACACCACUCCUACGUAUCCACAACAACGAUCAAUAUUUUACUAAAAAUUCAACCAACCAAAAAAUCACGGCAUUAACCAAAAUUCGAGAAAAAUGAAAGAGUAGAGUUAAAGAGAUGGACCUUAAUAGAACUUGUUAUCGUUGAUAAUAAAGAAAUUCGAGACCGAGAUCCUCGAAUGGGAACCCCAACGACAAACACCAUAAAUCAGUAUUCCGAAAUCGCGCGGAAAAGACGAACCCGCUACUGAUCUAGCUGAAUCAAUCGCACGAACAGAACUACGAAUCUGUUUUGGUCAUUUUUCGACCUGAUUUGAUGAAAAUCAAUUGAGACAGCUUGGGUUCCGUCACUCCAAUCGCUGUUCUGCAUCGUCGGAUCUCCGCCGAGCUCCAACAACGGCGAAGACCAAAAAAAGACGACGGAACGAAUUUCGACUGUUUUCAGGCGAAACUCGCCGGAACAGUACUCUUUUUUGAUUCUGUCCUCUUUCAGAUCGUAUUCUCUCUCCGUGUUUCUCUCACUCUAUUGUGUGUGUUAAUGGUGGUUUUUCGUAAGGGGAUUAUGAAGAAUAAAACCAAAAAAUGGUUUUUUUGAGGUCUGUGUUCAAGGUCUAUGAUGAUGAUAAUGGAAAGAGAAGAAAAAAUGUGGAAAAAUGCCCCCCC